CUUGAAGAUUUUAUUUGGUCUUUGCCCUUACGAUAGAUCAUAACCAUAUGUUGCAGGGCCAAAGUCUGUCUGCCUCUUCCAUGCUUCUUGCUUCAGCAGUUGAUUUUAUUGUUGUAGGAGGGCAAUAUUUCAAUGUAUGUUUUGAUCACUGUCUAUCAGACACUCAUUUUCAUUGGUAGGUAAAAAAACUAGUGCUCUAAAAGGCCUUAUCUAGCUGAUUGCUGCAUAUGGCCUUCACCACCAUGAAAGAAAGACCAGCUUAAUCAAAGGAUGGCAGAGAAGGAUGAGACAACGUAGCACUAUUGAAAGUUGAGGACAGCCAUAUUGAGGGGAGAAAAAAGAGAAGCGUUAUCUUACAGCAUUUUGAAAUGUCCAUUCAUUCCAUCCUCUUAACAAGCAUUGAAGGAGCAGCGAAUGAAAAACCAUGCCAGAAGAACAGGACAGGUUUGGGAAUACAACACCAAAGAAGCUCAGUGGGAACUGGCAACUUGGCAAAUAUAAGCUCUGAUCAACAUUCAGCACAUUAUUUUUUUUUUCAUUUUAUUCUUUCAUGGGCUGCUUCUAAUCAAAAGUUAAAAGCAGGAAUGAAUGAUGUAGAAACACUAUCUUAGGUUAACAACCUAGGGCAAAGAGGUCUACUGAAACAACGUGCGUGAACAAGACUGAUACGUUCAUUCUUAUUUUGAACAAGUUCUCAGAAUUCAACUCUGUAUUCUUGACUCUUCAAGGCACCUUACCCGCUUGUUAUUUUCAUAUUGUUGCUUCUGUAUUUCUCUAGUUGCUCUUGAAGCCAAGCAGAGUUCCUCUAGGAAGAUAUAAGAGAGUUGAAACAAAGAUGACUAAAUAGAAUCCGAGAAACAUUCACUGGUAUCAAGAAACUUACUUGGUGCCUUCAUAAAAAAAUUAGAAUCUCCAGCUUUGAUAAUGCAUUUAUAUCGACAGAAUCCAAGGAUAGUUCAGAAGUAAAAUAAAAAUGAAGUCAAUCUAAUUUCCUAAG